rnacentral:rRNA from 1 species
GACAGAGGGUGCAAACGUUGUUCGGAAUUACUGGGCGUAAAGCGUGUGUAGGCGGCCAUGUAAGUCGGGUGUGAAAGCCCCGGGCUUAACCCGGGAAGUGCACUCGAUACUGCGUGGCCAGAGUAUCGGAGAGGUUGGUGGAAUUCUCGGUGUAGAGAUGAAAUUCGUAGAUAUCGGAAGGAACACCGGUGGCGAAAGCGGCGCGCUGGACUUCUACUGACGCUGAGGCGCGAAAGCCAGGGGAGCAAACGGG